rnacentral:lncRNA from 1 species
GGUGGUGGCAGCGCUUCACCGCUUCACUGGGGCAGUAGCCAGGCAGCACUCUGGCAACCCUUUGAAAGGUGGGCCACACCCUUAACUGUGACCAACCAGGGCCUGGUGAGACCUGCCUGGCCUUCACCAGAGUGGAGGGACACUGGUUGGAAAUUCUCAGGCCUGAAGCUGGGUCCUGCCUCGGAAGCAGCCCCACCAGCCAGCCAGGUGCUGGGAGUUGCUCUCCCACUGGCUGCCCAGACCUGCUCUCCUGUGAACAGUAAAAUCUAAGCUCCUAGAGGUAGGGGCAAGGCCUGACAGCAUCAUCCCUGAUACUAAGGAGGCGCUCGUGUUCGCUGGAUGCACAGCCACAGAACAGAACCAGGGCC